rnacentral:rRNA from 1 species
UACGUAGGGGGCGAGCGUUGUUCGGAAUUACUGGGCGUAAAGGGCUCGUAGGUGGCCAACUAAGUCGGACGUGAAAUCCCUCAGCUUAACUGGGGAACUGCGUCCGAUACUGGAUGGCUUGAGUUUGGGAGAGGGAUGCGGAAUUCCAGGUGUAGCGGUGAAAUGCGUAGAUAUCUGGAGGAACACCGGUGGCGAAGGCGGCAUCCUGGACCAACACUGACACUGAGGAGCGAAAGCCAGGGGAGCAAACGGG